rnacentral:rRNA from 1 species
CAGUCGCCGCGGUAAAACGAAGGGGGCUAGCGUUGCUCGGAAUGACUGGGCGUAAAGGGCGCGUAGGCGGCGGCCAAAGUCAGGCGUGAAAUUCCCGGGCUCAACCUGGGGGCUGCGUUUGAUACUUGGUUGCUUGAGUGGGGAAGAGGGUCGUGGAAUUCCCAGUGUAGAGGUGAAAUUCGUAGAUAUUGGGAAGAACACCGGUGGCGAAGGCGGCGACCUGGUCCUUUACUGACGCUGAGGCGCGAAAGCGUGGGGAGCAAACAGGAUUAGAUACCCCCGUAGUCCCUGUCUCUUAUAC